rnacentral:rRNA from 1 species
CGACGUGAGAAACCUGCCUUUCAGAGGGGGACAACAGUUGGAAACGACUGCUAAUACCGCAUGACACAUUGGGGUCGCAUGGCCCUGAUGUCAAAGAUUUAUCGCUGAAAGAUGGCCUCGCGUCUGAUUAGCUAGUUGGUGAGGUAACGGCCCACCAAGGCGACGAUCAGUAGCCGGACUGAGAGGUUGACCGGCCACAUUGGGACUGAGAUACGGCCCAG